UCUGCAAGGGAAAUAUUUAUAGCUCUAGGAUCGGCCUGUACGGUAUCAGCUAGUUGGUGAGGUAAUGGCUCACCAAGGCAAUGACGCCUAACUGGUUUGAGAGGAUGAUCAGUCACACUGGAACUGAGACACGGUCCAGACUCCUACGGGAGGCAGCAGUGGGGAAUAUUGCACAAUGGGGGAAACCCUGAUGCAGCAACGCCGCGUGGAGGAUGACACAUUUCGGUGCGUAAACUCCUUUUAUAUAGGAAGAUAAUGACGGUACUAUAUGAAUAAGCGCCGGCUAACUCCGUGCCAGCAGCCGCGGUAAUACGGAGGGCGCAAGCGUUACUCGGAAUCACUGGGCGUAAAGAGCGUGUAGGCGGGUUAAUAAGUUUGAAGUGAAAUCCUAUGGCUCAACCAUAGAACUGCUUUGAAAACUGUUAACCUAGAAUAUGGGAGAGGUAGAUGGAAUUUCUGGUGUAGGGGUAAAAUCCGUAGAGAUCAGAAGGAAUACCGAUUGCGAAGGCGAUCUACUGGAACNUUAUUGACGCUGAGACGCGAAAGCGUGGGGAGCAAANAGGAAAAGAUACCCUGGUAGUCCACGCCCUAAACGAUGUACACCAUUUGUUGUGAGGCUAGACCUUGCAGUAAUGCAAUAAACACAUUAAGUGUACCNGCCUGGGGAGUACGGUCGCAAGACUCAAACUCAAAGGAAUAGACGGGGACCCGCACAAGCGGUGGAGCAUGUGGUUUAAUUCGACGAUACGCGAAGAACCUUACCUGGACUUGACAUAGUAAGAACUUUCUAGAGAUAGAUUGGUGUCUGCUUGCAGAAGCUUAUAUACAGGUGCUGCACGGCUGUCGUCAGCUCGUGUCGUGAGAUGUUGGGUUAAGUCCCGCAACGAGCGCAACCUGCGUCGUUAGUUGCUAACAGUUCGGCUGAGAACUCUAACGAGACUGCCUGGGUAACCA
rnacentral:rRNA from 1 species